rnacentral:misc_RNA from 1 species
GUAGGUGAACCUGCGGAAGGAUCAUUAUUGAAAUAAAUCUGGCGGGUUGCUGCUGGUUCUCUAGGGAGCAUGUGCACACUUGUCAUCUUUAUAUCUCCACCUGUGCACCUUUUGUAGACCUGGAUCUCUCUCUGAAUGCUAGCCAUUCGGGAUUGAGGAUUGACUUCAUGUCUCUCCUUCCAUUUCCAGGCCUAUGUUUCUUCAUAUACUCUCAUGUAUGUUAUAGAAUGUAAUCAAUGGCCUUUGUGCCUAUAAACCUAUACAACUUUCAGCAACGGAUCUCUUGGCUCUC